CUGUACAACAGGUGGAGAAGAUUGGUGGUGAAGACAACCGAUACUGUCAUCUGUAUCAGGAUCUGUAUUCCAAACGUUUGAUUCAGAAAGCACACGAUCUUGAUUAUCUCCAGAUGGAUUUGCCUUUGUGAAAAACGAAAGUUGUUCGUGUUCCUUCUUACGUGUUCAUUCCUGUACAAAGAGAAUCUGUUGUUCUCUAAAUUGUUCGUCAUUUCCAACACUCUUUUGUGAAUCGGCGAUUUCAUGAUUCUCAUACUACGAAGUAACUCGUUCAACUGACGAAACUUUAAUUUCAAGCACCUGAAUAACUUUCAUACGUGACCCAGAAGCAGAAGGAGAUGGUGCUGACACCGAACACUAUGAACGGAAUGUUCGGUAAAAUGGAAAGGCAUAAUUUAAUAAGCGUUGGCGUGGUUGAUUCGUAAUGACAAUAAUAGAUCAAUACAACGAAGAUGAGCGUGUAUAUUCCAAGGAAUAUGUAUCUUUUGAUCUGAUACAUCAUCAGGCAACGAUGCUUCGGUGACAAUCCUAUGUUUUCCAUUUUCUGAUCGCUUAAUUCUACAAGUGACACUACUGUCCGUAAUUGCUAGAAGAUGAGACAAUGUAUCAAAAUAUUAAAGCAAACAAACGUUUCUUGUAUCCAACGAAAAGUAAUAACAGGAAGAAAUUCGAAAAGGCGUUUAAAAUCACCUGUGCUUUUAUCCUGGUAAUGAUAAUCAACAGUGUUAUCGUCCAAAUAUUCGCGUGGAACAUCCAUUGAAAUAUAAAACGACUUAGAUUGAACGUGCUGAUGACAUAAUAUUUGUCGUAAUAAGGCAAGGUUAACUUAUUGAUCAAGUAAAAUAUCACAAGAUUGCAUAUCGUGUAAAUAUAUUCCAGUUUCUUCGAGGGUUUCUUUGCCUCGAUACCGGUCAGGCCCAUACCGAACACGAAGUUUAUCAUCAUCAACGGUUUGAUGGUUUCCUUGAGUGUUUUCGGCUCGUACAUGGCGAGUGGAAAAUGGAACUGGAUCAACUUAAACGCUUCACACCUUCGUUGUUUAUUUUAUUCAUACAUCAUCGUAUUUACACGACAGGUAGCAAUAGAUCGUUAUCACGUCAUGGUUAUCGUAUAAGUAGUGCUGCUAAGUAAUAACGAGCACAACAAUUACUCGUUCGUGUCCGAAUCGAUAUCGCGGUGAAAGUAUUGUUAACAAGAAUAAUGGUUAAUGAUUAAUUAUCGAAAUGCGGUUGCACGGUUCAAAUAUGUCUUAAUGAUAUUGUAAGAGCGUUUUUCUGGAUCUUCCGCAAAUCGUGUUAUAUCUAUUUCUGAAAAAACAAAUCUGAAACUUUAUUAAAAAUGAAUAGUAAUUCUUUUGAAUUUAAAAUCAAAUCAAUUGGAAAAAUAUUUAGUAUUCACUGUUUUUUAUUGCGUAUUAUAUAUUGUUUUAUUUAUAAUCUUAUUAAUCGACAAGUAUGAAAAAUUAUAUUCGAACGUCGAUCAAACUUUGAUUCGUCGUUUGAACGUUGCUCAAAUUGUAACUCGUCACAUUUUCCAUUGAAAUGUCGUUUUUUAUCGAUGAAUUUUGGCUCCAUUGUAUCAUGAUAAUAACGUAAGACAACAUGAAACUUAUGCACUGAAAAAAAAACCUUGUUGAAUCUUGUUAAUAAACAGUGAAAAAGAAAAAAGAAAAAUCGUAUAAAAAAGAAUACUAACAUGGCGAAUGUAAGAAUAAUUGAUUUUAUAAUCAAUCGUUUUUGAUUUUUCAAGUCGUGUGUACGAUAUUUGAAAACAGAAUUGGAGAAACUGCGAACAAAUGAAUUAUUAGGUUAUGUUUUUUUCAACAAAAUUUCACUCGACAUAUCAGACAGUUAAAUCUUGUUCACCUCGUUUUUUAAUUCAAUAUCUUUUUCGUCCAAGGGAUAUGAGUGAAUAAUAUUUAUUGUUUUUUUAGCCUGAAAAUCGAAUGGAUCAAACUUGAAAUUUAGAAAAAAAACAUUUCCAAUUUUUAAAAAUAUACAAUUUCUCACCUCAUUUAUUGUACAUUCGCAAUAAUAGGCUACAUAAAUUAUCUUCAUAAAAUUUCCAAAGCUAUUCCAUACAAAUAUCAUCAUCGUCAGUAACAGUUUUUUAAUAUCGGUCGUUCUUGGGAUCUCUACGUAUAUAUAAUAUGCAUGUAUUAUUAUGUAAAUCAUAAUUAUGAACGUAUACGUCAAUAAUUGCACGUUGUAAACGUUGUUCGUCAUUUUCGAUAUAUUGGAAAGUUGCAAUUGCGCCGAUCUUAAAAUUUUACAAAUUUCAGCAAAUCUUUUUAUUCAUCCAAUGUAAUAUUAUAUUUUCAAUUAAUUCAAAAUUAUUUAAUCUCGAUCGAAUUUCAUUUACCUAAUUUGUUGAACCAGAUGAAUUUUCUCGUCGGAUUCCUGUUUCAAAUUUGGAACGUGGUUCACAGGAAAUAUUUGGGAGCCGAGUAAAAAACGUUCCAACGACCAACUGUUCAGUCGAGAUCUAUUCUUAAAAUUAGGAUUCGACCCGAGGAUCUCGUCCUCCUUCAAUCCCUUCUCCAUUUUCGUUCCAUCAUUCACCGACAGAGUCGUUGCGAGCAGUUGAUUCGUCUGUUCGAAUCUUAAUUUUAGCCAACUGCAAUUUUCGAAUAUCAAUUUGAAGAACUCGAAGAAAGAUGAAAAUUGAUACAUUUGAUAUACGUACUAUAUGAAUAUAUCGUAGUCGUACAAAACGAGUGACUCGAUAUUUAUCAUGUGAACGUAAGAGAAUGUGACAAUUAUUUCGGAUAUUAUUUUUUCGUAUUUUAAUAAGAAGUUCGAGAAUAAUCCUAUUAAUAUAAUCCAAUGGAUUAACCAUAUCAAUCCUGUGAUCUUUACUUUACGGUGCAUGCUUCGAUACUCGAUUUCAAUCCCAAUUUCCUUCAAAUUUUCGUCCACUUGGUCGAUGUGAUUUCGUAAAACGAUUAUAUCCUGGACGAGAAAGUUAAAAACGAAAUAAAAAAAAAAAAAAUGGAACUCGAAAAACGAAAAAUCAAAGAAAAGUAAAGAUUCUCGCUUCUUUGAAGAUUUCCAUUACCUUCGAUUUGUACCAACCCAUUAUUGUUAUAGUUACGUAUCCAUAGAGAAAGAUGAAAAGUAGAAACGUGUACAUGAUUCGUUCUUUGUUAUACGGCAUGCUGCUUAAAUUAUAUAUUUCCAGAUAGAAUAUGAAAUAGACGUACGUGAAGAACGAGAUAACAUUAUAGAUCCAGCUGAGCAAGAAUUUCGACAAACUUUUUUUCAUAUUCUGGUAAUAACGGAACGAUGUCGCGUAAGAUAACACGAUUAUUAUUCUUGUCGCUUCCUCGUAACUUUUCAUCCUUGUUUUAUCUACCUAUAUUUCGAAAAAUUAAGAAACGAAAAAUUAUAUUAAUGAUAACAAAAUAAGGACAAAAAUCGACGAUGUCGUUACAUAUGAACCUACGCGGAUAUCUUUUUUUAAAGGAGAAAGAAAAGAUUAUUCUGUUCACUCGAAGGUUACGAUUAAUUUAUAAUAGAGGGGAAAAAAGAAAAAAAAAAGUAUGAUUCACGCAGGUUCGAAUUAAACACUCGUAAUUUUUAUCUAAGUUAAUCUCGUUAUCUUUGUAUUCAAAUCGAGGGUAAAACGACACCAACUCUUUGCUCGUUUCCUCGUUCGACUAAAGGUUGAAGGUGACCCAGAAGAACGUUGCAAUUGCGCAUUUACGUAAUUGCAACGUAAGAAGGAAUGCGUAAAUACGAUGAUAAGAAAAAAAAAGAGAGAGAGAGAAGAAAAAGUAAUUCAUUUCGUUCGACCAAGGCUUGAAGGCUUGAUCAUCGAGGGAUAUGUACAUAAAUUGGCCAACUUAAUGCAAUUUCGAACGAUUGCGAUCAAUUUAAAAUAUUGCUCUAAAUUUUAGUGUCAUUUUAGUUGCGAGAAAAAAAAUAUAUUCUAACGUUUCUUUCUAAAUAUUGUACAUCAAUUGUCGUUGAGAUAAUGAAUUGCAAAUUCUAUGUAUAUAUAUUGAAUUUUUACCACUUUUACGCCGCUUUAUUUUAUUAUUAUAUUAUUAUAUUAUUUCCAACGAUUGCGAUCGAUUUAAAAUAUUGUUCUAAAUUUUUGCUGCGAGAAAAAAAAUAUAUUCUAACGUUUCUUUAUAAAUAUUGUACAUCAAUUGUAUGAGAAAUUAUAUGAGAUAAUGAAUUGCAAAUUCUAUGUAUAUAUAUUGAAUUUUUACCACUUUUACGCCGCUUUAUUUUAUUAUUAUAUUAUUAUAUUAUUUCCAACGAUUGCGAUCGAUUUAAAAUAUUGUUCUAAAUUUUUGUUGCGAGAAAAAAAAUAUAUUCUAACGUUUCUUUAUAAAUAUUGUACAUCAAUUGUAUGAGAAAUUAUAUGAGAUAAUAAAUUGCAAAUUCUACGUAUAUA